rnacentral:lncRNA from 1 species
CUCCCCGUCUCUAAUGCACCUCAUGAUCUAUUUGCUGUCCUGCUGCUACGGUAACCUUGCUACAGUUCUCUUACCUGAUGAUCUUCCUUUCCCAGCAAAACAUUUCACACUUUCCCUCACAACACAUCUACACACACACACACACACACACCAUAAACAGCCCCCAUACACUCACACACCACACACCAAAAACUCACACAUUCCACACACAUCACACACAUGAACGCCCCAGUACACACAUAUUCAUACCACAAAUACCACACCCACACCACACACGCAUCACACCCACAACCUACACUAACAUACAUACCACACACGCCACACAUUCCACACACACACUAUGAACACCCCAAUACGUGCACACUCAUACCACAUGCAUACCACACACAUCACACAAACUCACACACUGUAAACACUCACUUCCUACAUCCAUGCACACCACAUGCAUCACACACACACCACAAACACUCCCGCAUACAUUCACACUCACGUAUCACACAAUACCAUGCACUGACACAUUCCACACACACACCAUAGACACCCCAAUAGACACAUACUCAUACCAUACAUACCACACAUACCACCCCCACACACACCACAUGCACAUCACACAUACUCUCACAAAUACAACACUCACCACCUCCACUCACACACAUACCACAUACACACAAACCAUACACACCACAUGCAUAAAACACACACCAAAAACACUCCCCAUAAACUCACACUCACAUACCACACAUAGAACACACACACAUUCCACACACACACCGUGAACACACACUCAUCACACACACCACACACAUCACACAAACUCUCAAACACACACCACUCACACACACACGCCACAUACACAGACACCACACACACCACCGCCAUGCCUCAUACACUUACACUCACAUACCACAAACACACCACACAUAACUUCCACACACACACACCACACAUCCUCAUACCACACUCAUCUCAUGUACCACUCACAUACACCACACACACAUCACACACUUACACCACACAUGGCACUCACCAUCUACUCACAUACAUUUCACACACACACACCACAAACAUCCCCCAUACACCCACAUACCACACACACAUCAUACACUCCACACACACACCAUGGAUACCCCAUAUAUACACUGAUACCACACUCACACACCAAGCCCACUACACUCCAUAUAUACUCACAUAUGCCACAUAAACACAAACCACCCAUAUCCACACUCACAUCACACACACCACAGUCUCUCACACACUCUCACACACACACAUAAACUCAUGCUCACACACACCCACACCCACAUUCACAUCACACACACCACAGUCUCUCACACACUCACACACACACAAAUUCAAACUCUCACAAACACACACCCACAUCCACACUCACACACACACUCCUUGAAAUGCUUCUCUUCACUCACUGAUCCCCUCCUGACCCUAAUCCACACCCACCGGGCUCCCCGGGCUUUCUUCCACCAGGACCUCCAUAGCCCCUCCCUCCAGGGGCUUCUCUCCACUCUGGGCUCCCUAUGGAGCCUCUGUUCCUUCUGCAGCUCUCGCUCUCCACCUCCCCAUGCAUUUGCCUCACUGAUUGCGCUGGACCAUGUUGGUGGUUUUUCCAGUGUGUCCCCCAUGAUAGGUCUCCUCACAUACACCGAAGGCACCUUUUGACAAGCCCAGAUCCUGGCACCGGCAGUUCCUUGGGCAUUGUACAUCCCUGCACGUAGGACCGCAUCUGGCACACAGUGUGCGCUCAGCUAUAAUUUCAGAGCAUGAAUGCUCACAGGUAUUAGGAUCAACGUUCAGAAGAUGGACAAAGAUGGACAAAGAUGGCCGGACGCGGUGGCUCACGACUGUAAUCCCAGCACUUUGGGAGGCUGAAGCGGGCGGAUCACGAGGUCCGGAGAUCGAAACCAUCCUGGCGAAGAUGGUUGAACCCCGUCUCUACUAAAAAUACAAAAAAUUAGCCGGCGCUGUGGCGGGCGCCUGUAGUCUCAGCUACUCGGGAGGCUGAGGCAGGAGAAUGGCGUGAACCCGGGAGGCGGAGCUUGCAGUGAGCCGAGAUCGCGCCACUGCACUCCAGCCUGGGCGACAGAGCGAGACUCCGUCUCAAAACAAAAAAAAAUAAAUAAAAAUAAAAUAAAUCCUUAACUGCACCGAGUCAAGGUAUGUGAACAGAUGGAUGCCAGAUCCUUG